AUCUGCAAGUGCAAAAUAUGACUGGCAAAGCAGAUUUUUGGUCAUUUCUUAGCAAAAGAGAAGAAAAUAAGUGCAUUAAAUGCAUGAAUUCAGAUUAUUUGACCUGGAAUAGUUGUUUUUCAAGUUGACCCCCCACCCUUAUAUAGUGGAAUAAGGGCUAAAUUGCUUUCCGACUUAAAUUCAACCGCAUAUUGGUUGACUGUGUCGCGUUAAUGUGUUACAUGAAGUUAGAAUUCAACGCCAGGGACUCCGUAAUCGAGUAAGGCAACUAAAACUUUUGCGAAAAGCAUGAACAUUCAAACAGAGCCCCAUUUCACCGACAUGGAAUGGCAGGCAUUUUUACAGUAUGGACAGUGCAGCAGAUGCUUAACUGAGCCAGCCUUCAUAUUUAGUACAAUCAUGAAUUGAGCAAGAUUUUAUCACUUCAUAUUAUUCAUAAAAGUACACUUAAAAUACAUAAAUGCUUGUUUUUGUUUCAUUUUUUUAUCUUUUUCUAUUGGGUAUUUUGACUUUUUCAGGAAGAGGAAUGUCUGCGACUAAGUCAAGGGCCACUGGAUAAGGGUUGUUGAUGGCAAAACAGGUUGGAGACUACAUAAGACUUUGACAGUUGGCGGGAAACCAUCAUCAACUGGAGAGAUGCCGGUAAAAAGAUGGCCAUAAAACAGUGACCGCUGAUUCGCAUUGAGUUCUUUCUUACAUAUUGGAUGACCUAUGUUUUUUAUUGUUUAAAUCAUUGCGGCUUGGAAUGCUCUUUAAGAAAAGGAAGAGGAAUGUCUGCGACUAAGUCAAGGGCCACUGGAUAAGGGUUGUUGAUGGCAAAACAGGUUGGAGACUACAUAAGACUUUGACAGUUGGCGGGAAACCAUCAUCAACUGGAGAGAUGCCGGAAGAGGAAUGUCUGCGACUAAGUCAAGGGCCACUGGAUAAGGGUUGUUGAUGGCAAAACAGGUUGGAGACUACAUAAGACUUUGACAGUUGGCGGGAAACCAUCAUCAACUGGAGAGAUGCCGGUAAAAAGAUGGCCAUAAAACAGUGACCGCUGAUUCGCAUUGAGUUCUUUCUUACAUAUUGGAUGACCUAUGUUUUUUAUUGUUUAAAUCAUUGCGGCUUGGAAUGCUCUUUAAGAAAAGGUAUGGUUAUGGGGGUGUCUACGCGCAAAAGUUUGACUUUAUUUUUUGUUAAAGUUAUUGCUUUUACAUUGAAUUUGUGCAGGAAAUCUUUUGGUAUGUUGUGAC